GUACUAUAAAACUGCAUAGUUUAAUAGUUAAAAUUUCGGUGGUAUAAGAUGGGCAUGCGUAGGAUUAGGUAGUUGGUGAGGUAACAGCUCACCAAGCCGACGAUCCUUAGGGGUUCUGAGAGGAUUAUCCCCCACACUGGUACUGAGACACGGACCAGACUCCUACGGGAGGCAGCAGUGAGGAAUAUUGGUCAAUGGACGAGAGUCUGAACCAGCCAUCCCGCGUGCAGGAUGACGGCCCUAUGGGUUGUAAACUGCUUUUCUACGCCAAGAAACCCACCUACGUGUAGGUGGUUGACGGUAGCGUAGGAAUAAGCAUCGGCUAACUCCGUGCCAGCAGCCGCGGUAAUACGGAGGAUGCAAGCGUUAUCCGGAUUCAUUGGGUUUAAAGGGUGCGCAGGCGGGCUUGUAAGUCAGUGGUGAAAUACUGCCGCUUAACGGUAGAACCGCCAUUGAUACUGCAAGUCUUGAAUAUGGUUGAGGUAGGCGGAAUGUGUCGUGUAGCGGUGAAAUGCAUAGAUAUGACACAGAACGCCAAAUUGCGAAGGCAGCUUACUAAGCCAUUAUUGACGCUGAGGCACGAAAGCGUGGGGAGCGAACAGGAUUAGAUACCCUGGUAGUCCACGCCGUAAACGAUGUUCACUCGCUGUCUGCGAUACACAGUAGGCGGCUGAGCGAAAGCAUUAAGUGAACCACCUGGGGAGUACGAUCGCAAGGUUGAAACUCAAAGGAAUUGACGGGGGCCCGCACAAGCGGAGGAACAUGUGGUUUAAUUCGAUGAUACGCGAGGAACCUUACCUGGGCUUAAAUGUAGAUUGCAUAGAGUAGAAAUAUUCUUUCCCUUCGGGGCUAUUUACAAGGUGCUGCAUGGUUGUCGUCAGCUCGUGCCGUGAGGUGUCGGGUUAAGUCCCAUAACGAGCGCAACCCCUAUCGUUAGUUGCCAGCGGAUAAUGCCGGGGACUCUAGCGAUACUGCCACCGUAAGGUGAGAGGAAGGUGGGGAUGACGUCAAAUCAGCACGGCCCUUAUGUCCAGGGCUACACACGUGUUACAAUGGCAGGUACAAAGGGCAGCUACACAGCGAUGUGAUGCUAAUCUCUAAAGCCUGUCCCAGUUCGGAUUGGAGUCUGCAACCCGACUCCAUGAAGUUGGAUUCGCUAGUAAUCGGAUAUCAGCAAUGAUCCGGUGAAUACGUUCCCGGGCCUUGUAC
rnacentral:rRNA from 1 species